GGGUUCGAUUCCGGAGAGGGAGCCUGAGAAACGGCUACCACAUCCAAGGAAGGCAGCAGGCGCGCAAAUUACCCAAUCCCGACACGGGGAGGUAGUGACAAUAAAUAACAAUACGGGGCUCUUUCGGGUCUCGUAAUUGGAAUGAGUACAAUUUAAAUCCCUUAACGAGGAACAAUUGGAGGGCAAGUCUGGUGCCAGCAGCCGCGGUAAUUCCAGCUCCAAUAGCGUAUAUUAAAGUUGUUGCAGUUAAAAAGCUCGUAGUUGAAUUUCGGGAUUGACACAUCGGUCGUGCCUUAAGGGGUAUGAACUGGUGUAGUCAAUUUCUCACCUUCUGGAGAACCGCAAUGCCCUUAAUUGGGUGUCGCGGGGAACCAGGACCUUUACUUUGAAAAAAUUAGAGUGUUUAAAGCAGGCAUUUUGCUUGAAUACAUUAGCAUGGAAUAAUAAAAUAGGACGGCAUGAUUCUAUUUUGUUGGUUUCUAGGAUCACCGUAAUGAUUAAUAGGGAUAGUUGGGGGCAUUAGUAUUCAAUUGUCAGAGGUGAAAUUCUUGGAUUUAUUGAAGACUAACUACUGCGAAAGCAUUUGCCAAGGAUGUUUUCAUUAAUCAAGAACGAAAGUUAGGGGAUCGAAGACGAUCAGAUACCGUCGUAGUCUUAACCAUAAACUAUGCCGACUAGGAAUCAGACGAUGUUAAUUUUUUAAUGACUCGUUUG
rnacentral:rRNA from 1 species